AAAUCAUUUUGGAGACAAUUUCUUAUCAAUCCCUUAUAGCGCUCCCAUGCCUCGUAGAGUGACUCCCCCGGUUGUUGCUCGAAAUUAGCUAUUGCUUUCUUCAGUUU